rnacentral:rRNA from 1 species
UACGUAGGGUGCAAGCGUUGUCCGGAAUUAUUGGGCGUAAAGAGCUCGUAGGCGGCUUGGCAAGUCGGGUGUGAAAACUCCAGGCUCAACCUGGAGACGCCACUCGAGACUGCUAUGGCUAGAGUCCGGUAGGGGACCACGGAAUUCCUGGUGUAGCGGUGAAAUGCGCAGAUAUCAGGAGGAACACCGGUGGCGAAGGCGGUGGUCUGGGCCGGCACUGACGCUGAGGAGCGAAAGCGUGGGGAGCAAACAGG